rnacentral:rRNA from 1 species
AUUGAACGCUGGCGGCAGGCCUAACACAUGCAAGUCGAGCGGAUGAAGGGAGCUUGCUCCUGGAUUCAGCGGCGGACGGGUGAGUAAUGCCUAGGAAUCUGCCUGGUAGUGGGGGAUAACGUCCGGAAACGGGCGCUAGUACCGCAUACGUCCUGAGGGAGAAAGUGGGGGAUCUUCGGACCUCACGCUAUCAGAUGAGCCUAGGUCGGAUUAGCUAGUUGGUGGGGUAAAGGCCUACCAAGGCGACGAUCCGUAACUGGUCUGAGAGGAUGAUCAGUCACACUGGAAUUGAGACACGGUCCAGACUCCUACGGGAGGCAGCAGUGGGGAAUAUUGGACAAUGGGCGAAAGCCUGAUCCAGCCAUGCCGCGUGUGUGAAGAAGGUCUUCGGAUUGUAAAGCACUUUAAGUUGGGAGGAAGGGCAGUAAGUUAAUACCUUGCUGUUUUGACGUUACCAACAGAAUAAGCACCGGCUAACUUCGUG